rnacentral:rRNA from 1 species
AUUGAACGCUGGCGGCAGGCUUAACACAUGCAAGUCGAGCGGGGGAAGGUAGCUUGCUACCGGACCUAGCGGCGGACGGGUGAGUAAUGCUUAGGAAUCUGCCUAUUAGUGGGGGACAACAUCUCGAAAGGGAUGCUAAUACCGCAUACGUCCUACGGGAGAAAGCAGGGGAUCUUCGGACCUUGCGCUAAUAGAUGAGCCUAAGUCGGAUUAGCUAGUUGGUGGGGUGAAGGCCUACCAAGGCGACGAUCUGUAGCGGGUCUGAGAGGAUGAUCCGCCACACUGGGACUGAGACACGGCCCAGACUCCUACGGGAGGCAGCAGUGGGGAAUAUUGGACAAUGGGGGGAACCCUGAUCCAGCCAUGCCGCGUGUGUGAGGAAGGCCUUAUGGUUGUAAAGCACUUUAAGCGAGGAGGAGGCUACUCUAGUUAAUACCUAGGGAUAGUGGACGUUACUCGCAGAAUAAGCACCGGCUAACUCUGUGCCAGCAGCCGCCGUAA